rnacentral:lncRNA from 1 species
GAGAGAGCAAGGGUUUGUUGAAGUCGAAUCUAAGGCCAAGUGGCUAUCUACUCGUCUUAAGCACCUUUUUUUGCAUCUACAAUACACUCACGUUAUGCUAUGCAAUUAGUUGAUUCAAUACAGGUGAUCGAAGUGAGGGAACUCACUUCUCGAUAGCAGUUCUCGCUGCUGGUGGUUUGUUGGCUUCGAGUCGAGUGGUGUAGGACUAUCAGAGCGGACGAAGCCCCCGUUCGUGCAGAAGGGAUCGAGUCGCGUAGUUCUGACCGUUAUGGUUGUUGGAGUAGAGCGUCCGGUGAGGGCCGUCUCUGCUUGUGUUGUGUAGUAUGACGUCCACGUCGUGUUUGACUCUCGUUCCUUAACUCGUCCCUUCGCGUAGCCCACGGAGCGGUGCUGUGAUAGUCCAACUCUGCUUUCUUCUUCUAGCUUCCGUAGCAGAAGCGGUUCGUAGGUUAGCUCGUUAGUAAAGCAAGGAAAUCCUACUGGCGGUAGCGGUUGUACCUUUUACCUAUAUCUAGCCGCUUCUUUGAUCAUCGCAUGAUGAAUAGUGUUGAUUGGUCACCCAAGGACACGCGAAAGCGGUAGAUCAGAGAAAGGGAAAGAAAGGAAACCUAAGUUUUCUCUUUUAUAGGACCGAAGAGAACGAUGCGAACAGGGAGUCAAAGAGCUUUCCGUUACGGGCGAUAGGCUUAGAUAACAAAAUCUUUCCUUCCAAUCUUGAAAGUUCCAGUCUUUCGGGAAAGCAUUUCUCAUCGGACAAAUCAAGUCAAGGAAUCAAAAUGACAAUAACUAGUACCGAUUGAUGGGGGAGAGACAUAUGUAGGUUGGUACAAUCGGAGGUAUCACCAUAUUAAGGAUUCAAAGAGAUACCGUACUGGUCUGGCUUUUUUCGAUUGUUCCUGAUCCAUCGAAUAGAGUAGCCAUUUCUUUCCCGGGAGCGCAUAAAAUGGAUUUUUACGAUACGAAAUUCACUUAACAUAGUUACCCCGACAGAGAGUACUUUUAAGAUUCAACCUACCCUUUAUUCUAGCUCCGAUUCUGUGUAACCUAUAUGACUAAUUGAGUACCUUCUAUCUAUCUCAUCAAAAUGAAUUGCACACUGGAUUAUCGAUGUAUGCCCAAGGAAAGGGGAUACUAAUAAAAGAUCAAAGAAGGCUUUUCAUGUAUAAAUAGAUCGUUUAUUCCAAGAGCCCCUAUUACUAAUCAAAUCAAAAUGACUGUUUGCCUUAUCAAUGGAAAGGUCUUCGAAACUAUGAAUCACGCUCCUUGCACAGAGGGUAUGCUACUCAUGGUAUGCCGGGCCUUUCUUAGAAUUCAUAAAGGUGGGUAGAUAUGGCCGCAGUAGAUUCUUCCGAUCGAAUCCUAGUGGCAGAGUAUUGAGGCACGGAUCCAACGGUAAGGGAAUCCGCGAUCGCGAUUCAUCAUCGCAAUUCUCCCAGCAACUGUCCAGCCGGUCAAUGACUGAGCUGUGAUUGUAUAGGUGGUAGAGUGGCGAUCCGCCACUGGACUUUGUGUCUUCCUUUGAGCUCUUCGUUCAUCCGGUCAUCCCUUUUUUAACGAAUCGCUUCUUCCCCUCUCUUUCUUUCCAUUCCAGUAGUCUUAUGCGGUCUGGUCUGUCCAUUAGUUCUUCUCUAUGGCUUCUUUGAUUUAGUAGAAAGCCCGGUUCAAGCCAUAGCCAUCUCCCAGCAUCCAGAAAUCAUGUUCCUACAAGCCCAUUUGGCUGCAACAUGUGCUUCACAUACAUAGUUCCUAUUCACUUUUUUACAGAAAAGAAAGAAAAAAAAAAGAGAUAGAAAUUCGAAAUCUAAAGCUUUCUGCUUCCGGACCGGCUUUCUUUCCGAGCAGCCUCUUCCAAGCAAAGCAAAGGUAUCUUCCCUAGCUUUCAGUUCGAGAAAGGAGUUCGUGCUUCUCUCUCUACGGGGGAUAUUACUCAUUAGAAUCUUUAAGUAGGGAAGCUGGGGAGGGGAACUCAUUCGCUUAGCUCCCGAGACUGGCUUUACGCUCGUAGCGUAAACUUAAGCGAUGGUACUUUCCCUGGCCGUAGGGUCUAUUAAGGGAUUCGUGCUUAUCCGUAUAGGGGGGUGUUCUUAAUAGUCUUAAUGCGGGAAGCCGGACAUUCAUAGCUGCACUUGCUUUGAUCAAGUGGUGGUCCCUUCCUCGGCUUUCAGUUUUGAGUUAAGAGGAGCAAGAAAGCCGCUGCUAUUAAGGAGCGAAGAAAUAAUAGCGCUAGCGCGCUCUCUCUUUGCUGCAAGAAAGCCGCUGCUAUUAAGGAGCGAAGAAAUAAUAGCGCUAGCGCGCUCUCUCUUUGCUGCAAGAAAGCCGCUGCUAUUAAGGAGCGAAGAAAUAAUAGCGCUAGCGCGCUCUCUCUUUGCUGCUUACCCUUGAUUCGAAUUUAGUAUUCACUUAAGAGUCGAAGUCGAAGCCCGGGCUACCUUAGAAAGAGGGUUAUUGAAAAAGAACCAACGACGACCAGGAAGGGGAAAGCUGUUUAGAAGAUAAGAUUGGCCACCGGGGAGGUAGGGGUUUGGAAUGAACCGAACCAGUAGGCGAGGGAAGGCAAGUCUUAGUUUGGAAAGUGAAGGCGAGUAGGAUGAGAGGGAAUUCGAGUCUAGGCAUUGGUGCCAGGUUGAGGCAGAUUGGAUAGGGGUGUCAAUCCUUUGCCUUUCGAAUACGGGUCUAAUAGUGACUUCAGUAAAGCCCUCGGGAAUGAGAAUAUCGGAAUGGAAGUGCCAUGUCACCCGUCUUUUCUCGCCGUUGAUGCAUUUGCAGAUUGCUCUUUGCCGAUCAAUGCUUUUUUUUCUUCUUCCUUCCGGAUUUGAAAAAGCAAAGGAAUUUGCUUCGGCCUCUCUUUCGGAUUAUGGGUUGGUUUGGCCCGAGAAAGCAGCCCUCUAUUCUGAUGAUGCGGCUGGGAAUGCUUU